rnacentral:rRNA from 1 species
GGACUACUGGGGUAUCUAAUCCCGUUCGCUCCCCUAGCUUUCGUGCCUCAGCGUCAGAAGACACCCAGUAAGCCGCUUUCGCUCCUGGUGUUCCUUAGGAUAUCAACGCAUUUCACCGCUCCACCCUAAGUUCCGCUUACCUCUGUGUCCCUCGAGCCCGGUAGUUUUGCGCGCAAUUCCUCGGUUGAGCCGAGGGCUUUCACACACAACUUUCCGGGCCGCCUACGCACCCUUUAAGCCCAGUGAUUCCGAAUAACGUUUGGACGGUUCGUCUUACCGCGGCUGCUGGCAC